ACCCGCUGAACUUAAGCAUAUCAAUAAGCGGAGGAAAAGAAACCAACAGGGAUUACCUCAGUAACGGCGAGUGAAGCGGUAACAGCUCAAAUUUGAAAUCUGGCUCUUUCAGGGUCCGAGUUGUAAUUUGUAGAAGAUGCUUCGGGUGUGGCUCCGGUCUAAGUUCCUUGGAACAGGACGUCAUAGAGGGUGAGAAUCCCGUAUGUGACUGGUUGCCUUCGCCCAUGUGAAGCUCUUUCGACGAGUCGAGUUGUUUGGGAAUGCAGCUCUAAAUGGGUGGUAAAUUUCAUCUAAAGCUAAAUAUUGGCCAGAGACCGAUAGCGCACAAGUAGAGUGAUCGAAAGAUGAAAAGCACUUUGGAAAGAGAGUUAAACAGUACGUGAAAUUGUUGAAAGGGAAGCGCUUGCAACCAGACUUGCACGCCGUCGAUCAUCUCAGGUUCUCCUGGGUGCACUCGGCGGUGUUCAGGCCAGCAUCGGUUUCGGUGGUUGGAUAAAGGCCUUGGGAAUGUGGCUCCUCUCGGGGAGUGUUAUAGCCCUCGGUGCAAUGCAGCCUACCGGGACCGAGGACCGCGCUUCGGCUAGGAUGCUGGCGUAAUGGUUGUAAGCGACCCGUCUUGAAACACGG
rnacentral:rRNA from 1 species